UUUGUCGUGGUCAACUAGUGUGAAAUUAUUCACACUCACACGCACUGACCUACCCCAUGGACUGACCUCCAGGUACAUGCAGAAGUACUUAUCCGCCCUAACGUGUGUGUGGUGUGUCAGGUCUACAAGGUUCGAUGCCAAGAUGGAGAGGCGGACAAAUAACAUGAAGGGAAACCAGGAAGAGAGAUGAAGAUGAGGCAUGAAGAAAUCAGAACGAAAUAUGGUCUCAGUGGGUUCAACCCGUACUCCAAAUUCUCUUGAACUGAUAUUUGAACACUGUACUGUAUCAACUGCCUGCCUUCUCUUCACCUCUGACCUUUCAAC